UCCACACCUGUUUCAAAGUGACUGCUAACUGACCUUAAACCGCCUUAUAAAACAUCUUGAUGUUUGACCUUCCCUCUCAAACUUCAUUUCUUCAACAUCACCCCCAAACUCAACACUCCAGACCUACUGACUCCUUGCAAUUCCAGGCCCAGCUGAAGGGCAUCAGAUCGGAGGGCAUGGUACUCUUUCAGAAGAACGGCAGCAGAGUUCCAGGCCAGGCAGGGCCGGCCCACGAUGUCGGUGUUGGCCUUCCCUCGCUGCAUCGCUGAAUGUUGGAGAAGUACUUGUAGGACACACAUGUUCCUCCAUUCAGGCAGCCGCAGUUUGCUGGAGAGCACAGAGGUGGAGGGGCACGUGGAUUUCCAUGUUUAACCACUGCAGGGCUUGUGGUAGAUGCUUCUGGGACCUUCAUCCACUCUGCAGUGGUCUGCUGGCUGUUGCCCUCUGAGGCUUCCUGUCUCCUUUUAGAGCUGACAGACACCACAGCGUGUCCUGCACAGCGCUGGUCCUCACGGCUCUCAUCAUCCCUCCACAUCUUCCAUCAUCCACCACCUACCUACCCAUCAUCAUCCAUUCAACAAAGAUUUAUUGGAUACUCACUAUGUGUCCAGCGCUUUGCCAGAUCCUGAGGAUGCAAUAAUG